AGGGUGUCUGAGAUCCUGGCCAGGGAACAGCUUGAACUCACAGAUACCUGCUUCAUUCCUAUCCGGUUUCCAAGACUCAGCUUAAACACCACCUCCUCCAGGAAGCCUUCCCUGAUCCCCAGCUCUAAAGUCCAACCAAGGUACAUUUUCAGUGUUCUCCCAGGUGAGCUGGAGAGAAGCCCUCUCUGUCUUAUCGCUUAUGCUGUAGUAAGUAUGUGAUUGCUCGUCUGCC
rnacentral:lncRNA from 10 species